UAGGGAAUCUUCGGCAAUGGACGAAAGUCUGACCGAGCAACGCCGCGUGAGUGAAGAAGGUUUUCGGAUCGUAAAACUCUGUUGUUAGAGAAGAACAAGGACGUUAGUAACUGAACGUCCCCUGACGGUAUCUAACCAGAAAGCCACGGCUAACUACGUGCCAGCAGCCGCGGUAAUACGUAGGUGGCAAGCGUUGUCCGGAUUUAUUGGGCGUAAAGCGAGCGCAGGCGGUUUCUUAAGUCUGAUGUGAAAGCCCCCGGCUCAACCGGGGAGGGUCAUUGGAAACUGGGAGACUUGAGUGCAGAAGAGGAGAGUGGAAUUCCAUGUGUAGCGGUGAAAUGCGUAUGUAUAUGGAGGAACACCAGUGGCGAAGGCGGCUCUCUGGUCUGUAGCUGACGCUGAGGCUCGAAAGCGUGGGGAGCAAGCAGG
rnacentral:rRNA from 1 species